rnacentral:misc_RNA from 1 species
UCUCCGUUGGUGAACCAGCGGAGGGAUCAUUAUCGAGUUUAUAACCCUCAAGCCCUAUGUGAACUUACCACUUGUUGAUCACACGCGCGCUUUGGUGCCGCCGAGGAGACUUAAACUAUUUGUUUUUAUAAGCAUUUCUGAGAUGCCGAAAGGCAAAAUACUAAUGAAUCAAAACUUUCAACAACGGAUCUCUUGGUUCUG